UACGAAGGGGGCUAGCGUUGCUCGGAAUCACUGGGCGUAAAGCGCACGUAGGCGGCUUCUUAAGUCAGGGGUGAAAUCCUGGAGCUCAACUCCAGAACUGCCUUUGAUACUGAGAAGCUUGAGUCCGGGAGGGGUGAGUGGAACUGCGAGUGUAGAGGUGAAAUUCGUAGAUAUUCGCAAGAACACCAGUGGCGAAGGCGGCUCACUGGCCCGAUACUGACGCUGAGGCACGAAAGCGUGGGGAGCAAACAGG
rnacentral:rRNA from 1 species